UUUAACUUUUUCAGAAUAAUGGAUCCCUUACAUGGUGUCAGAAUCACAAGCAGUGUUCUAAGGAAAUUUUCUGCGAUCGAAGGUGACCAUGCCUUUGGAAAACACACCUGCACAAAACCUAACUGCUGGAUAUGAUACCCGCCAGUGACAGCAGAUAUGCAAAACCCAUCUUACAGGUCUUGCACUACAGGUAACUUACCUAUUAUCUGGAAACGUAUUACCAUGCACACCUUUCAACUGUCCCAGUUUUGGAGGAAUGUUCCUGUUUUCAAGCCUGAUUUAUGAUGUCCCUAUUUUGGAGGUAUGCCCCUAUUUUCAGGCUUGAUUUACCCCUUCAUACAAUUUUCUAAUUUCCAAUCAUCACAUGAUUUAUGAACUUGUCUAGUGAACUGAAAAUCACACUACAUGACCAAGAUACUGGUGACAGCAAUAAUUUAAGCAAAAAGGACUCACAUCUUACAACUGUCUUUUUCAGAACCAAAAAUAAAUGACCUUGUAUGGAAGAAUUUUGUGGUACAGUUCAUUAAAGGGUAGAUAUUU